GAGGGUUAGUGGCACGCGGUUAGUUUAUAUGAUCGGUUUAUAACAAGUCCAGUCCUCUACCCUUCUCCACUUAAAAGACCAAGCUUGUCUACAACAAGGUUCCAACUCAUGACAAACAUAUGAUGUGUGAGUUAGGCACGUGUCACGGGUUCAAAUGCUACCACCGACAAAAGUAUGGUAUUUAAGUGGAGAAUGGUAGAGGGUCGGACCCAUUAUCUACCGAGUUUCAUACCGUGCACCACUAGCCCUC